CUCUGUUUUAAAAAAAAAAACAAAACCCUCCAGUCUCACAGUUGUUAUUAAGACGGAGGGAUGAACAGACUUCUAAAACGUAUGUACAGCUAACACAGACUUUAUCAGACUUGUUGAUGUGUCCCCAGUGCCUGAGGAUGGAGUCAGGUGGGCACCCAUAAUGCACAGCGACCCAGACUGUAAGGGGAAAAUGAAGCAGCUGAGGUUUGAUCUCGGCUUUGUGGUCCACUCUCUCUGUUAGGCAACUCUCUCUUAAGAAACCAGCUCUUCCUCCUUUUAAUAUCCUGCAGUAAACUUCUCCCAAUUCCUAAAGAGAAAAGGAACAGUAUUGCUUGUGCUACCUGGCUGGUUAUGUGCCCGUUUCAAGCCUCAGUUUCUUCACCUGUGAAGUGGGUCCAAGACCAUCGGAUUGAUAUGAGUAUUAAAUGAAGUAGUAAGUAUUGUGGGGUCGGGAUCUAGGCCUGACCAAGGUUGUUUCUUCCCAACUACUCCGAAAUGGAGGGGAGCAAACCCAUUGACUUCCUCCUUGUCUUCUUCUAGCAUUUGCUCCAAGUUGCAUGCAAAGCUGUGACUGCCUAGCUCCCAGUGAGUUUGGGGUGCAGUUUUCAGUGGGGGGGAGCUGUGGAAACAUGGCUUCUUUUCCUGAACCCAGACAAAUUUCAUAACCCCGCCUGGCUUGAGCCAGUGGCACUCCUAUUGGAUUGGCUCACCUUGACUUGCCCCUCGGAUGUCUGUCUACCUGGAUGGCGGGUCUGGACCUGGAUAACCUGUGUUUUACUGACAUCUGUGUCACAGCCUUGCCUUUCCUGUUGACCUUGGCAGUGUGUCUUCACCUUGUAUUGUCAUCCUCUUCUCCUGUAUCGACCUGCCCCAUCGUCCUGCUCCUGUGGCUGCCGGCUGGACAUGGAAUCCAUCCAUCCCCAUGCAGUCCUGGCUGGCUUGUGAGUCAACCUUUGCAAGUAAGCCCUUUCUUGCUAUCACCUGCCUCUGGAUGCUUCGUGAUGUCUUUACCAAGACAAACUUAAUAUUGCUUUGCAUCCAGGCAUGUUCAAACACCUCACCAUCGUCAUAGCAAAGAACACUUCUUUCCUAUUGCUACAUUCUCAGAUAAACAAACAAAAUGUUGAGAUAAUUAAGACAUACAAAGAAACAAUCAGAGAAUAAGAUGACAGUCACCAUAAUCACAGCUACAGUCUGUUUGUGUUCCCCUAAAUUCAUGUGUUAUAACCUUGUCCCCAAAUUCACCUAUUAAGGAGGCCUUUGGGUGUGAUUUAGGAUUAGAUGUGGUUUAUGGUUUUUCCUGGAGGGAUUCAAACAAAUAUCUAUGUAUUGCUGACUGAUGAUGGACUAGAGAAACAAUUCCAACCAAGUCCAGCUUAGCCUGCAGCUCCACUAGAGAGUCUCCACUCUGAGGUAAUUACUGACUGCUUUUAUAUCCUGGGGGUGUGUAUCAUGUGAAUUUCAUAACUUUCAUGAACUUCCUGAACCUUGUAUGUUUUCUUAGAUUCCUGAGUCUUAUGGGCCUCUCUCCAGGGAAGAACAUUUAAUUUGGAGGAAAGAGCUACACAACUGAUCUAUUCGUGAGGGUGGAGCCCGUGAUGGUUUCAGGAGCUUUGUUAGGAGGGGAAGAGAGGCCUGAGUUAGUGUGUGUAUUCUGUCUCAUCAUAUGAUAGCCUCAUGAUGCUAAGAUGCAGCAUGAGGGACACCAUCAGAUGCAGCACCAUGGUUUACUUCCCAGCCUCUAGAACCAUGAGCCUAAUGAACUUCCAACUGGUCACCAGUGUUUGUAACAGCAACAGAACAUGGAUUAAGAUAGACACUGACAUCUGAACACUUAGCGGUAUUUUGUCCUGUUUUAAAAUAAUUGAAUGUUAAAAUAAGGUUGCCUCUCCUUUCCAGCCCCCUCCUGUUCUCCCUCUCCGGAGGAAGGUUUUAUCCUGAAGUUGUUUUCCUUCUCACACAUGUUUUGUACAUUUACUCUGCAUUUAUAAGUCCAUAAAUACUACACAACAUUGCUUUCUAUUUACAACGUCAUGUAAUUGAAAACAUAUGUUUUGUACUGUAUGUAUCUAUUAUAGGUUGGAUUGUGUCAUCCUCCCUCGCUGAAGCCUGUAGUACCUUAGGUUAGGACCUUAUUUGGGAAAGGACACUGCAGCUGUAAUUAGCUAAGCCCUGAUAGCACACAGCAGUAGGGUAAGUCCCUCUGACUUGUGUCCUUGCAAUGAAUGCUAUGUGAAGAGAGGAAUUUCCAGAGGGAAGACAGUGUAAAGAUGCAGCUUGGAGAUACUGUGUGACUUUUCCUGGGGAAACUGAAGAAACAUCUGCCCCCAGGUAGAGAGAGCACCAACAGACCAAAGGAGUCCAUCCAAGUCAUUGGUGAGGGAGUGUCAAUUGGCCUGGUCAUCUCAGGACGGUCCCAAGUGGGUCCUUACAGCCAUUCUGAUUUAAGACGUCAGUGGCUCGAUGAUGUCUCUGAAAACAGCUGUCGUACAGAGAGGACAGUCCCACAGGGAGGUGUGUCUCCUUCACUUCAGGUACCUAACGUGCUUUCACGGAAUUGAGAGCUGCGUGUGUGACAGGUAUCCUUUAAAACGCUUCUGACCCUAUCAGUGCUGUUGAAAUGGUGUGGCUGUCUGAUACCCCCCCCCAACAUGGCACCUGCUCUUCACAGAGAAGAAACCGGGAGUAGGCCAACUGGCUAGAAGUGAGAAAGGUGACCCCUAACUGAGCACAAGGCCAGUUGUUGGGGGCAGUGGACAGCGUGGCACAAGUACUAAGAGGUGGCUUCUCGAGGGAAAUAUUGUGCAGGAUCACUGUGAUCAUGGUGGACAGCUGUCUCCUCCAUCGAGGUGCAGGACAGUUUCUUAACCAUGCUCCCUGCACCGUGCAGGAAGGGGAGGUUCCAACAUCUGUACCUACAAAGCUUGGGCUGCAGAGUUUCCCCUCUUGUGUAAGGACAGUGACAAGUAGGGUGAUUCCCCAUUUCCUCACUGCUGCUCUAGGUCUAGCGCAGGGGUCUUGUUGGCCCACCUUGUUACACCAUGAACUGGGUCCUUCCCCAAAUUUACAUGCUGAAGCCCUAACUAACUCCCAUUUUCUUUGUAAAGUGACUGUAUUUGGGGGAAGACGUGAAGGUGGGCACUACCCAACAGGACCAAAGUCCUAUUAUGAUGAGGAAGACACAUCAAGGAUCCGUGUACAGAGGAAAGGUCGCGUGGGGAUCAUGUGAGCAUCAGUCAUAGCGGUACUACUUCAAGGUGGUAGCCAUCUGCAAGUCAAGGAGAGGCUGAAGGAGAACCCACCUUGCUCAGCCUCCGGAUCUCUGAGUAAAUACACUUCUGCUAUUUACGCUAUCCCAUAGCAUCUUUUCAUCACGCCCCUAGCAAUGAAUAGUUGUCUUCGUCAUCACUGUAUCAUUAUCAUCAUCAUCAUCAUUGUUCUUGUCUUCUUCACCAUCCUCCUCCUCCUCCUUAUGCUGCCCUGGGGAAUGACUCCAGCACUUCCAGCAGGCAAGACAAGUACCACUAAGCCACACCUCUAGCCAUUAGCUUCUUUCAGUGCCACAUGAGUUCUAUGCCCAAGACUUCACCCUCUCUUCUUUCGCUCUAGGUAAGAACACUACAUGUCUCCACAGAGAAAAACCAGGGGCUGCUUCUCCUCACUCUUCUGGCUUCAGUUCCCUUUGUUUGCAGCCCUUAUGACCCUUAAUUUGGCUUCCAGUUUAGCUCUUUCUAGAUGUUGCAUUUUAUCAUGUAUCUGGUAUCUUUGCAGCUAAAAGGGUCUAGUCUAACUGGGAUUCAUAUGCCCUGUUGCUGGAUAUGCGUGCUCCAUUAGUAAAUCUGUUUAGCACUUUCCUGCUUCUGAUUUGGUUCCCCUUUCCUCUCAUGAUUAUUUAUGAGAGCAUUACCACAGUCAUACUCCAGAUAGAAAACCAGAAGCUUGGAGUAUUUAAAUGAUUCCUUUGGUGACUUUGGAACUUGUCUUCCAGGCAAACCCCAGUGAUCUCUCCAGUUUAUGGGCUGUUACCAUCCAAUCCCACCAGCAACAGCUCUAGAAGGUCCAUGAGCAGUACUCAUCCUCUGCAGACCCCGGGGGAUAACUAUGUCAAAGCGCUGUGGCUUAUGCUUGAAAACUCCUGAUUCAGGAAAUGCUGAGAAGAUUCCUUCCAAGUCAAGGGGCAAGGUGCUGCUGGGAGCAUUGCCUUUGACUAUUUCUUCUCUCUUGAGACCCCCUCCCCAUGCCAUGUAUUCUAAGAGACUGAUUUUCAUCUCUGUUUAUGCCUGACAUUAAGCAGACAUUUCCUCUCAUUUUUUGUUCUAGUAGAUUCUUCUGCCAGCAUCUGAAGGAUUUUCCUCCUUAGAAGACAAUCCUGGAACCCUAUAGAAUGCAGUGUAUCGUACAGGAGGAAAGUGAUGGAAAUGUGACUGAUCCACUGGGGUACCGAUCUUCGGUGUUUGGCUUAGAAAUCAAUCGAUUUGAAGGCCAUUGAAGGGCUGCCGGAGACAUCUGUGGCUCAGUGCCUGCAAUCUGCUGGACCUUAGCAUGUGUGUUUUAGGUGCUAACCUUCCCAGCUUCAUUCUGUUCCGAGUUCCUUACUUGCUGUCCAAAUGGAUUGUUUAGUUGGUCGGCAAAAUGCUCCCAAAUUAGAAGCUUUCCUUAAAGAAUAGCAAAACCUCGUCUUUAAAGAUGGCUCAGUGAUUCAAAGGCACCUGUCACCAAGCUUGAGGACCCGAGUUUAAUC